rnacentral:lncRNA from 1 species
GCGUACGUAAGUUUUUUCCUUCCCAACUGCUGCAGCACCAGGUAGCAUGCAGCACACGGCGGCACAGCCCCAACGCGCAAGAGCGAAGCUCACUAGAAGCUGGGGGAGAUUGCACACGUAGAUGUGUCUCUCUUUUUUUUUCUUCUAGUAUCCAUGGUGUUCUAUAGUACAUAUUUCAUGCAUUUCAAAAGCACUUGACAUUUCAACGUUCAAUGGGGAAAACAUUGAGCUAAUGUAGUCAACAUUUUGGUUUCACUAGCUCAUUCA